rnacentral:lncRNA from 1 species
GCCGAAAUAAACAUAUAUAGAUUGGACGUCCAUAGAAACAAACCACAGACUGAAUUUGUCAAACAGUUAAUAACAUUAUACUGCUUCUAAUAUGAUACAUGAAAGGUACACUCCAUUAACAUUAUCCAUACUGGCAUUUUUUUUUUUUGAUACUAAAUACUUGGCUUUCCCCACUCUUUUUGCGGUACUGAAUACAUACUUCUAAAUUGUGUAUUGAGUACGUACUUCUAAAUUGUGAUAGGAUAUACAUAGAAGCAAAAAGAAAAACUACUAUGGAGCAUACAGGCAAAUCUUAGUAGAAUGGCCGGCGAUGGUGAGGCACAACCAAAACCCAUUCUCGGACGACUUGGGUGCUACCAAGGGCAGACUCUUUCUUUGCAGGAGGGUUUGGGACUGGCUUGGAGUAGUAGCAAACAUUAGCUGGUGGUGGCCGCCUCUUUCGACCCAAGCACUCAUCCAGUAUGUCAAAGGCCUCCCUCCCAACCUUAGCAAGGUGAUCCCUCUGAGGAUCCAUGCACAAGAAUAACUCAGGUGAGUACAAGAGCUAAGAGAUUCUUAGAUUUGGGUUGUUGGGACCUUGUGGCUGGCCAUGCCUUCUUAUAGACAGGACUCUUCUCUGUUGACCCA